rnacentral:lncRNA from 1 species
GGUCGAAGAAGCGUACAUCCCUACUUUUGAUUUUGCCCAGGCUUCGGGAUACGGAGAUGAUGAAGCACAAUCUAGUCAGUAUGAGACGUCGUAUCAUGGUCGCGAGAGCGCGCCUCCAACACAAUACUUUUCAUGGGAUGGGCAACCGUUGGACGAAUCCGCAUGGAAUCUGAAUGAAAUAUGCGGGAGAUUCAACCAGGUGCGGACGGAUGAAGCCGUACAACCUGAAGACGAAGCCGAAGAACCUGAUGACGAUUCUGAUGAAGAAGACGAAGAAUACGAUCCAACGAACGAGUCGGGCACAGAUUCUGCCGCCUCUGAGGAUUUAUUAGACGAUGAUCUGAUAGAGUUCACGGCGACCGAGCGAGCAGGUUGGAUCCGACAAAGUAGAACCCGUCACGGAAAUCCGACGGACUCGACCGGUGAUCUAUCUAAUUGGAUAGUUCCGUUGAUUCCAGUGGACGCCACGACUUCGCUCGUUGCUCGCGAGAGUGACCUGUCCAGAGUUGCUGAUUUGGGGAAGAACUCUUUUUACAACAGUAAAGAAGAAUUGGUCCUUGCUGUUGGCUUCUGGAAUAUGAAGCAAGGGGCUGAGGCAAAAGUUGGACGCUCAGAUCAGGGACGCCUCUAUUACAAGUGCAAGCACUCUGAUAAGUGCAAGUUCGAUGUGCGUGCAUCUUGUCACGGCGGAGGGAUGUGGG